AACGCACAUGGCGCCUCACGGCAUGCUUGUUUCAGUGUUUUACCCUCUCACGACCCUCCCGGGCCAUUGUGGUGUAUGAGCCUCAUGGAGCGCAAGCUCUGCGUGGCUUGAAGUGUGUUGUGGAGACCCGGUGUCUGGCUACCUUUUCUGCAUGCUCAGGGAGCAAGGGUACAACAGCGCGGUGUGGUAGGAUCCCGCAAGGGACUUCACAAACCCCCGUGACCUGUACAACCCCCACUCUACACCAAACUGAGCGUGCGCACACAGGAAGAGGCGGCUGACCCGCUAUGGGACCCUCCAGGGCGGACUCUCAGCAGUCUGCUCGAAGAGUGCAGGACGCUUGUGCCUGCACAUCCCCCCUUCAACAUAAACCUGAAACCAAGUAAGAGUACCCGCUGAAUUUAA
rnacentral:misc_RNA from 1 species